rnacentral:sRNA from 1 species
CGCCUCUGCGAAGCCCCUGCCUCGGGCCCUGUGCAACGCUUUUUCCGACGGAGUCUUGCUCUGUCGCCCAGGCUGGAGUGCAAUGGCAUGAUCUCGGCUCACUGCAACCUCUGCCUCCUGGGUUCAGGCGAUUCUCCUGCCUCAGUCUCCCAAGUAGCUGGGAUUACAGGUGCGUGCGACCAGGCCUGGCUAAUUGUUUGUAUUUUUAGCAGAGGCGGGGUUUCACCAUGUUGGCCAAGCUGGUCUCGAUCCUGACCUGAAGCAAUUCACCCUCCUUGGCCUCCCAAAGUGCUGGGAUUACAGGGAAGAAAAGUCAGAAGACCAGGACCUCCAGGGCCUCAAGGACAAACCCCUCAAGUUUAAAAAGGUGAAGAAAGAUAAGAAAGAAGAGAAAGAGGGCAAGCAUGAGCCCGUGCAGCCGUCAGCCCACCACUCUGCCGAGCCCGCAGAGGCAGGCAAAGCAGAGACAUCAGAAGGGUCGGGCUCCG